rnacentral:rRNA from 1 species
UACGUAGGGGGCAAGCGUUGUCCGGAUUUAUUGGGCGUAAAGAGCUCGUAGGCGGUUCGGCAAGUCGGGAGUGAAAUCUCCACGCUCAACGUGGAGGGGCCUUCCGAUACUGCUGUGACUCGAGUCUGGUAGAGGAGUGUGGAACUCCCGGUGUAGCGGUGAAAUGCGCAGAGAUCGGGAAGAACACCAGUUGCGAAGGCUGCACUCUGGGCCAGUACUGACGCUGAGGAGCGAAAGCGUGGGGAGCAAACAGG